GCAAACUGCCCACUCUGGAAAUACCCUGCCCAGGGUCCAGGUUCAUGUCCUUGAUAAGGUUUUCACAAUCAACUGGUAAAUGUCUGAAUCAUAUUUACCAUGAGAAGAUUCCCAAAACACUUUUCAAGGAUUCCUCAUGCCUUAAUCUCAGG